GGCCGCCGCCAUGGCCGCGGUGGACCUGGAGAAGCUGCGGGCGUCGGGCGCGGGCAAGGCCAUCGGCGUCCUGACCAGCGGCGGCGACGCGCAAGGCAUGAACGCUGCUGUCCGGGCUGUGACGCGCAUGGGCAUUUAUGUGGGUGCCAAAGUCUUCCUCAUCUACGAGGGCUAUGAGGGCCUCGUGGAGGGAGGUGAGAACAUCAAGCAGGCCAACUGGCUGAGCGUCUCCAACAUCAUCCAGCUGGGCGGCACUAUCAUUGGCAGCGCUCGCUGCAAGGCCUUUACCACCAGGGAGGGGCGCCGGGCAGCGGCCUACAACCUGGUCCAGCACGGCAUCACCAACCUGUGCGUCAUCGGCGGGGAUGGCAGCCUCACGGGUGCCAACAUCUUCCGCAGCGAGUGGGGCAGCCUGCUGGAGGAGCUGGUGGCGGAAGGUAAGAUCUCAGAGACUACGGCCCGGACCUACUCGCACCUGAACAUCGCGGGCCUAGUGGGCUCCAUUGAUAACGACUUCUGCGGCACCGACAUGACCAUUGGCACGGACUCGGCCCUCCACCGCAUCAUGGAGGUCAUCGAUGCCAUCACCACCACUGCCCAGAGCCACCAGAGGACCUUCGUGCUGGAAGUGAUGGGCCGGCACUGCGGGUACCUGGCGCUGGUAUCUGCACUGGCCUCAGGGGCCGACUGGCUGUUCAUCCCCGAGGCUCCACCCGAGGACGGCUGGGAGAACUUCAUGUGCGAGAGGCUGGGUGAGGUGGGUGCCGUCCAGCCUGCUGGGGGCCGCAGGUGUCCUGGUGCACUGGGUAGCGCCCCUGGGGUUUUGGGACCAGCUUUGACUAACUCAUCUAUCACUCAUGGGUUCAUCAGCAGCUGCUGAUGCCCCCAUCGGGUGCCCCUCGGGGCGGGACACGUAAGGAGUGGGGGGCUACGGGGCUGACCUCAGUGAGGCACCUGUGGUCCUGCCCCCAGUGGGCAGGAGGCGGAGAGGGUCACUCAGGCCGCUGCCGCCCCAGGCUCAGCUCCGUGGUCAGUGUGGGGAGCUCGGUGAGGCUGCUUCCUGGGGUGGGACUGCUGAGCCUGGGGCGGUGGGAGGUGGUUGGUUGUGAGGGAGUGGCCCCAGCAAGGUCCAGACGGCAGGGCCGUGGGGGUGGCGAGGCCAGGAGCUGGGCCAGUGGGGAGCAGGGCCUUCCCCUGAGGGCGGUCGGGGCCCGGGGGUGGGUUCUAGGCUGGAAAGAUGUGUCGGAACGUGGCUGUAGCCACAGGGUGGACAGGAGGUCCCGGAAGCAGGAGAAGGUGGGGAGGCUGCUGGGAGGCCGAGACCGCCUCUGGGAGGGAUGGGGGGUGCCUGGCGGGGAGGGGUGUGUCUGGAGUGGGGGUGCCUGGAAUGCUGCCCUCUGGUUCCCUUGGGGUGGAGUUGGGGGCUCUGGCCUAGAACAGGCUGACACUGCCCUGUGGACCCUAAGACCCCUCAACUAGGACAGGUCGGCCCCUCGGUGGGGUGGGGCUCAAUGGUGGACCAGAGGCACGGGCCAUUCAGGCUGUCCUUCGCCCACACCCGAACAUGCAGGGCAAGGCCAGGGGCCCCCGUGGCUCUAGCUCUGUCCUCUGUGCGCUGAGGCUGAGGCAGGACCACUGGAACCAGCCCUGGGGGCAGAGGGUGGGUUUGGGACUGACACGGUGUCCCUGUCCCCAUGUGAAGGUGGCAGCGUCACUCCCAUCUUUGUGGACACUGGUUCCACCUCCACGUGGCUGUACAGCGCUGCCGAGGGCAGUGGGAGAGGCCGUGGGUAAUGACCUGGCUUCUAGAACCUUCCCCAGUGGAGCCUAGGGGCCGGGCGGAGACGGAGCCCAACAGGCGAGGCUGGCCUGAGGUGCGGGUCCUAUGAGGGGCUUGCUCUCCUAGGGCAGGGACCUCCCGGGGGUCCCGGCUCCAGUGGUGACCUCGGCCUUAGCUUAUGUCUGUGACUCACGUUGGGCCCUCCUGGAAGUGGCCUGGAUGCAAGGUCAGCCCACCUGAUUCCUUCCUGCUCUGUGCGAGCAGCUCAGGCCCUCACUGAGAGUCUGUUUCCCCCUGUAACAUGCGGGUUCCCGCCUUGCCCACCACCCAGGGUGCACUGGGGCAGGGAGGGUGGCACAGCUCUCCUGCGGGACCUGCAGCCCAUCUUCCGGGUGUCUGACCUCACCUGCACUGGCGCCACCUCCUCCAGGUAGCCCUCCACUCCCACUGCACCCGGGCCCUGUCUGAGCUGCUCCAACCCUGUCCCUGUAGGAGGCUUUGUGGCCCGUGGUGGGCAAACAUGGGGCUUGCGGCUCAGAGCGAGUCCCACAAAUGUUGACCGGGUCAUUGAAGUGGAUGGCUGGAAAGCUCUUUCAGUUCCCAGAGAGCUGGGCCGCGGCUGGUGUGUGGUGCUGAGGCAGCAGCCUGAGGCUGGCAGAGGGGAUGGUGUGUCCUAUGUGCACCAGUGUGGACCCACAGUGGCUUCAGGGUGCAGGGUGUCCGGGGAGCCCUGGCUGGUGCCAGCGAUGCGGGGCCCCUGGUUGUAAGGAUGAGCAGAUGGAAGCUCACAGGGGUCCCAGGUGGCCCAGGCUAGCCCGGGCAGGCCCCUCUGCCCUGUGCCCCGUGGAGCUGCAGCCCUGUGCGUCUUCCCGCCUGGAAGGCUUCACCAGACACAAGGGCCCAGCCCCAGCUGUGUGUGUGCUGGGCCCAGCCCCGAGGGCCCCCUUCCUCCCCUGCUGCCCUUCCCAGGCUUUCGGGCAGAGCCCUCUUGUUCACCGCCUCCAGGAGGGCGGGGGGUCCUAGUGGGCCCAGCCUCAUCUCUGCCCUCACGCUCUAGGCCUGCUUUCCUCCUGCUGGGUGGGGAUUGUGCCCUGGCCCAUGCGGGUUGGGGAUGGUGGCCCCAGGGAGGGCUCCUGGCACCCGGCGGCUGUGUCCGGGGCAGGUUUCCCUGCCUGGCAGCUGAGCCCUGUCGUGUCUUUGACCCAGACUCGGAGCCGUGGGUCCCGACUGAACAUCAUCAUUAUCGCUGAGGGUGCCAUUGACCGCAACGGGAAGCCCAUCUCGUCCAGCUACGUGAAGGACCUGGUGGUUCAGAGGCUGGGCUUCGACACCCGUGUAACUGUGCUGGGCCACGUGCAGCGGGGAGGGACGCCCUCUGCCUUCGACCGAAUCCUGAGCAGCAAGAUGGGCAUGGAGGCGGUGAUGGCGCUGCUGGAAGCCACGCCUGACACGCCAGCCUGCGUGGUCACCCUCUCGGGGAACCAGUCAGUGCGGCUGCCCCUCAUGGAGUGUGUGCAGAUGACCAAGGAAGUGCAAAAAGCCAUGGAUGACAAGAGGUUUGAUGAGGCCACCCAGCUCCGUGGCGGGUAAGCCCCCUCAGCAGACCCCUGCACUCUUACAUGGCUGGGUCCUGGUGCCAGGCAGCACGUGCUACGGUGGCGCUGUGCACGCCUGGCCUGGGUCAUCCUAGGCACCGCGUCUGAAGAUCGAGGGAGGAAGGGGCCUGCGGGUGGUACAGGAGGCGGGCUGGGAGGUGUGGUGCCACAGGAGACCCUGGGCGGUGGCACGGGCAGGGCCCAGUGCACAGGGAUCUGGGCAUGGCGAGGGGAUGAGAAGCUGUGGAUACAAGCCCAGGACAUGGGGUGGCCCCACGGGGGCUGGGAAGGCUGGCAGAUGUUGGGUGUGGGUGCCGCCCCCCUGCAGGCGUCCUGGCGGCCGGGUCAGGCUGGAUUGGACAUCUGGUUUCCCAUCUGUGCCUCCACCCGCUACCAAGGUGGCCAACCCUCCCUUGAGCUGGAUGCCGGCCACGUGCUUUGCUGCACGGGCUGGCGUGGCCUCGUGUUGUGUUGGGGGUCUCGCACCUUCUGUGGAAGGUGCCCUGCCUGGCAUGCACGGUGUCUGCUGCCUCAUGGCUGAGCUUCCAUCGGGCCGUGUGCCUGUGACCAGCCUCCUGGGCUCUGUCACGGCUGCGCUGUGGCUGUACGCCGUGGCGCUGCAGGGCUGUGCAUGGUGUGACCCGAAUCCUUUCCAGGAGCUUCGAGAACAACUGGAACAUUUACAAGCUCCUCGCCCACCAGAAGCCCCCUAAGGAGAAGUCUAACUUCUCCCUGGCCAUCCUGAAUGUGGGGGCCCCGGCGGCUGGCAUGAAUGCGGCCGUGCGCUCGGCGGUGCGGACCGGCAUCUCCCACGGACACACAGUAUACGUGGUGCACGAUGGCUUCGAAGGCCUAGCCAAGGGUCAGGUGCAAGAAGUGGGCUGGCACGACGUGGCCGGCUGGUUGGGGCGUGGUGGCUCCAUGCUGGGGACCAAGAGGACCCUGCCCAAGGGCCAGCUGGAGUCCAUCGUGGAGAACAUCCGCAUCUACGGUAUUCACGCCCUGCUGGUGGUCGGCGGGUUCGAGGCCUAUGAAGGGGUGCUGCAGCUGGUGGAGGCUCGCGGGCGCUACGAGGAGCUCUGCAUCGUCAUGUGUGUCAUCCCAGCCACCAUCAGCAACAACGUCCCUGGCACCGACUUCAGCCUGGGCUCUGACACUGCUGUAAAUGCCGCCAUGGAGAGCUGUGACCGCAUCAAACAGUCCGCCUCGGGGACCAAGCGCCGUGUGUUCAUCGUGGAGACCAUGGGGGGUUACUGUGGCUACCUGGCCACCGUGACUGGCAUUGCUGUGGGGGCCGACGCCGCCUACGUCUUUGAGGACCCUUUCAACAUCCAUGACUUAAAGGUCAACGUGGAGCACAUGACGGAGAAGAUGAAGACAGACAUUCAGAGGGGCCUGGUGCUGCGGAACGAGAAGUGCCAUGACUACUACACCACAGAGUUCCUGUACAACCUGUACUCAUCAGAGGGCAAGGGUGUGUUCGACUGCAGGACCAACGUCCUGGGCCACCUGCAGCAGGGGCAGCCGACUGCCGGCCUCUGGAGGCAGCUUCUGGCCUGGACUUGAUGCUGGAGAGAGCAGGCAGGGUCCUCGAUCGGGAACAGACAGGAACGGUGCACGGGUUGGAAGGAAUGGGUGUUCACAAGCUGCCUGGGAGGCUCCCCGUGGGGACCCUGUCUGCACUGGGGUUGGGCCUCCCCUCUCCUUGGCCCAGGCAGCCCAGGGGAGUCCAGGAACCGGGCCUCACCUGUUUCCAGGGUGGCGCUCCAACCCCCUUUGACCGGAACUACGGGACCAAGCUGGGGGUGAAGGCCAUGCUGUGGUUGUCGGAGAAGCUGCGCGAGGUUUACCGCAAGGGACGGGUGUUCGCCAAUGCCCCAGACUCGGCCUGCGUGAUCGGCCUGAAGAAGAAGGCGGUGGCCUUCAGCCCCGUCACUGAGCUCAAGAAAGAUACUGAUUUCGAGCACCGCAUGCCACGGGAGCAGUGGUGGCUGAGCCUGCGGCUCAUGCUGAAGAUGCUGGCACAAUACCGCAUCAGUAUGGCCGCCUACGUGUCAGGGGAGCUGGAGCACGUGACCCGCCGCACCCUGAGCAUGGACAAGGGCUUCUGAGGCCAGCCAUGCCCACGCCCCUCCCCAGCCCCCACCCAUGCCAGCGCAGCGCCAGGGCUCAGAUGGGGCCUGGGCUGUUGUGUCUGGAGCCUGCAGGCAGGUGGGGGCUGCGUCCCUGCUCAGCCCACCCCCUGCCUCUAUCCCUGGCCACCCGCCAGGCCUCCCUCGGGCUGGUGUCUUGAGACCAGCCUGCCAGGCCCUCCAGCAGGAGGACAGAGUGCCCUGGGGCAUCCACCUUCCUGCCCAGGGGACGUGGCGCUGUCGGUGUUUGGAGGCUGCUGCCCCCUGGCUUUGGCGCCCCAUGGGCCCUCAGCGUCUCCCCAUGCUGGGCUCACUACAUGGGCCAGCCCUUGCCCUACCUGGCCGGUAGGCUGCUGGCGCCUAGGUUGUGUUGAGAGGGGGAUGCCCCUGGCCCUGCCUCACUGUGACCUGCUCCUGCCCACGUGCAGCACCUGUCACCUUUUCUAGAAAUAAAAUCACCCUGACUGUGGGGUGCAUCGGUCUCUGGAGAGCA
rnacentral:sRNA from 1 species